UUAGUUAUUCAGUAUAGGACGGGGCUGGAAUGAUGUGAUUGGCUGGUUCGCAGUUCAAAUUUCUCCAUGUAUUUUUGAUGCCGCGUAAGUGAAGCCGUAGCACUCGCUCCGACCAUCCGUCUCACUCUACCCUUUACCAUCUCUCCUCACACUGUAUAUUUUACGUCCCAGAAAACAAAACAGUUUUUUGUGCUUCGGUCUGGACCACACCCACCCACCAUCAUCAAUUAAAAAUUUUCGUCAUCUCGAAUGGAGAAUUUUUGCGACUUUCUAAGUUCGAAUAAUUAAUUAAAAACUGGAACUUGUGAUUCAGAUUUAAAACCAAAUUUAUUGCAACAAAUUAUAUUCAUUCGGAUGCGACUAAAUUGAUUUAGCAUAAAUACAACUUUACUUACUUUACGUUUAACAAGUAUCUAAAUAACAACUAAUAACACAUACUCCACAGCCGUGUUGUCACCACUGAAAGUGUGUAUCCACCGGCAAUAUUGAUAAAGAAAUUGUUAUCUAAUGUGAAUAAAACUUCCUUGUUGUUUAUAAAUUUAAUAAUGCAUCUUCACGAAUAAAAACAACUUUGCCGUAAUAACCAAACAUCGAAAUAAUUUCCCGGUUGCAAAAUAUUUUAUUACAAAUAGUAGCAAUAAUUUUCGUGCCUUGAGUAUAUAAGGAAAAUGGAAACAGUUGAAUGUGGUUCUGGUUCUUCUACUUCAAACUGUAGUGAAACUUAUUUCUAAUCUUUAUCUUCUUGUUCAUAUAAAGGAUAAAUUAA